rnacentral:rRNA from 1 species
AGAGUUUGAUCAUGGCUCAGAAUCAACGCUGGCGGCGCGCUUAACACAUGCAAGUCGCACGAGAAAGGGGAGCAAUCCCUGAGUACGGUGGCGUACGGGUGAGUAACACGUGGAUCAUCUACCUUUUAGUGGGGAAUACCUCUGGGAAACCGGAGACAAUACCGCAUAAGCUCGUGAGAGGAAAGCAGCAAUGCGCUGAAAGAGGAGUCCGCGGCUGAUUAGCUAGUUGGCGGGGUAAUGGCCCACCAAGGCGAAGAUCGGUAGCCGGCCUGAGAGGGCUCACGGCCACACUGGCACUGAAACACGGGCCAGACUCCUACGGGAGGCAGCAGUGGGGAAUCUUGCACAAUGGAGGCAACUCUGAUGCAGCGACGCCGCGUGAGCGAUGAAGCCCUUCGGGGUGUAAAGCUCUUUCGACGGGAACGAUAAUGACGGUACCCGAAGAAGAAGCUGCGGCUAACUACGUGCCAGCAGCCGCGGUA